rnacentral:rRNA from 1 species
GUGAACGCUGGCGGUAGGCCUAACACAUGCCAGUCGAACGGCAGCACAGUAAGAGCUUGCUCUUACGGGUGGCGCGUGGCGGACGGGUGAGGAAUACAUCGGAAUCUACUUUUUCGUGGGGGAUAACGUAGGGAAACUUACGCUAAUACCGCAUACGACCUACGGGUGAAAGCAGGGGAUCUUCGGACCUUGCGCGAUUGAAUGAGCCGAUGUCGGAUUAGCUAGUUGGCGGGGUAAAGGCCCACCAAGGCGACGAUCCGUAGCUGGUCUGAGAGGAUGAUCAGCCACACUGGAACUGAGACACGGUCCAGACUCCUACGGGAGGCAGCAGUGGGGAAUAUUGGACAAUGGGCGCAAGCCUGAUCCAGCCAUACCGCGUGGGUGAAGAAGGCCUUCGGGUUGUAAAGCCCUUUUGUUGGGAAAGAAAAGCAGCAGGUUAAUACCCCGCUGUUCUGACGGUACCCAAAGAAUAAGCACCGGCUAACUUCGUG